CACGUAGGGCGCAAGCGUUGUCCGGAUUUAUUGGGCGUAAAGAGCGUGUAGGCGGCUUUACAGGUCCGUUGUGAAAACUCGAGGCUCAACCUCGAGACGCCGGUGGAAACCGUAAGGCUAGAGUCCGGAGGAGGAGAGUGGAAUUCCUGGUGUAGCGGUGAAAUGCGCAGAUAUCAGGAAGAACACCCGUGGCGAAGGCGGCUCUCUGGGACGGUACUGACGCUGAGACGCGAAAGCGUGGGGAGCGAACAGG
rnacentral:rRNA from 1 species